UGGGAUGUGGCUCAGUGGUACAGCACUUUGCCUUGUACUGGCAAGACCCUGGGUUCAAUCCCCAGAACCCCAA
rnacentral:tRNA from 1 species